AUUGAACGCUGGCGGCAUGCUUUACACAUGCAAGUCGAACGGUAACAGGCCGCAAGGUGCUGACGAGUGGCGCACGGGUGAGUAAUGCAUCGGAACGUGCCCAGUCGUGGGGGAUAACUACUCGAAAGAGUAGCUAAUACCGCAUACGAUCUAUGGAUGAAAGCGGGGGACCGUAAGGCCUCGCGCGAUUGGAGCGGCCGAUGUCAGAUUAGGUAGUUGGUGGGGUAAAGGCUCACCAAGCCAACGAUCUGUAGCUGGUCUGAGAGGACGACCAGCCACACUGGGACUGAGACACGGCCCAGACUCCUACGGGAGGCAGCAGUGGGGAAUUUUGGACAAAGGGCGCAAGCCUGAUCCAGCAAUGCCGCGUGCAGGAAGAAGGCCUUCGGGUUGUAAACUGCUUUUGUACGGAACGAAACGGCUCUGGUUAAUACCCGGGGCUAAUGACGGUACCGGAAGAAUAAGCACCGGCUAACUACGUG
rnacentral:rRNA from 1 species